UACGGAGGGGGGCUAGCGUUAUUCGGAAUUAUUGGGCGUAAAGGGCGCGUAGGCGGCCCGGUAAGUCAAAGGUGAAAUCCCUCGGCUCAACUGAGGAACUGCCUUUGAAACUGUCGGGCUUGAGGCCGGGAGGGGGUAGCGGAAUUCCCAGUGUAGCGGUGAAAUGCGUAGAUAUUGGGAGGAACACCGGUGGCGAAGGCGGCUACCUGGACCGGUUCUGACGCUGAUGCGCGAAAGCGUGGGUAGCAAACAGGG
rnacentral:rRNA from 1 species